rnacentral:rRNA from 1 species
ACGGAAGGCAGCAGUGAGGAAUAUUGGUCAAUGGGCGAGAGCCUGAACCAGCCAUGUCGCGUGGAGGAAUAAGGAUCUAUGGUUCGUAAACUCCUUUUGCGGGGGGAUAAAGUGCGGGACGCGUCCCGUUUUGUAGGUACCCCGCGAAUAAGCAUCGGCUAACUCCGUGCCAGCAGCCGCGGUAAUACGGAGGAUGCGAGCGUUAUCCGGAUUUAUUGGGUUUAAAGGGUGCGUAGGCGGGAUGUUAAGUCAGCGGUGAAAGUUUGCGGCUCAACCGUAAAAUUGCCGUUGAAACUGGCGUUCUUGAGUGUAAACGAGGUAGGCGGAAUGUAACGUGUAGCGGUGAAAUGCUUAGAUAUGUUACAGAACCCCGAUUGCGAAGGCAGCUUACCAGCAUACAACUGACGCUGAGGCACGAAAGCGUGGGUAUCAAACAGGAUUAGAUACCCUGGUA